UAGGAACUUAGGAUUAACAUAAACCAAAGGCCUUCAAAGCCUUAAACAAGAGACAGCUCUUAGUGCCUG
rnacentral:tRNA from 2 species